AUCGCGGCAGGUGCUCACGUUAAGCCCACUGACUUUCAUGUCCCUAUCUACUAUCUAGCGAAACCACAGCCAAGGGAACGGGCUUGGAAUAAUUAGCGGGGAAAGAAGACCCUUUUGAGCUUGACUCUAAUCUGGCAGUGUAGGGAGACAUAAGAGGUGUAGAAUAAGUGGGAGAUAUUAGACUUCGGUUUGGUAUCGACAAUGAAAUACCACUACUCUUAUUGUUUCCUUACUUACUUGAUUAAAUGGAACGUGUAUCAUUUCCUAGCCAUUAUACGGAUAUAAUUAUUAUGUCUUAUGGUAUUGGGUUUUGAUGCAAGCUUCUUGAUCAAAGUAUCACGAGUUUGUUAUAUAAUCGCAAACAAAUUCUUUAAUGAGAGAAUGCAUUUAUGUAUUAUUGAUUUAAAAAUUUGGUAUAACUCCAAUUACUCAGGUAUGAUCCAAUUCAAGGACAUUGCCAGGUAGGGAGUUUGACUGGGGCGGUACAUCUCUUAAAUAAUAACGGAGGUGUCCCAAGGCCAGCUCAGUGCGGACAGAAACCACACAUAGAGCAAAAGGGCAAAUGCUGACUUGAUCUCGGUGUUCAGUACACACAGGGACAGCAAAAGCUCGGCCUAUCGAUCCUUUUGGUUUAAAGAGUUUUUAACAAGAGGUGUCAGAAAAGUUACCAUAGGGAUAACUGGCUUGUGGCGGCCAAGCGUUCAUAGCGACGUCGCUUUUUGAUCCUUCGAUGUCGGCUCUUCCUAUCAUUGUGACGCAAAAUUCACCAAGUGUUGGAUUGUUCACCCAUGCAAGGGAACGUGAGCUUGGUUUAGACCGUCGUGAGACGGUUUUCCCUUAUUAAUGACAAAACGUUGUUGCGACAGCAUUCCUGCGUAGUACGAGAGGACCCGCAGGUACGGACCAAUGGCACAAUACUUGUUCGAGCGAACAGUGAUAUGACGCUACGUCCGUUGGAUUAUGCCUGAACGCCUCUAAGGUCGUAUCCGUGCUGGACUGCAAUAAUAAAUAAGGGGCAAUUUGCAUUGUAUGGCUUCUAAGCCAUUAAAAGUUUUUAAUUUGUUUUAUUAACGACAAUGGAUGUGAUGCCAAUGUUAUUUAUGACAUAGUAAAUUGGGAGGAUCUUCGAUCACCUGAUGCCGCGCUAGUUAUAUUUUAAAACAUUAUUUAAUACAAUGUCAAAGCCUAGAAUCAAUUGUAAACGACUUUUGUAACAGGCAAGGUGUUGUAAGUGGUUGAGCAGCUGCCAUACUGCGAUCCACUGAAGCUUAUCCUUUGCUUGAUGAUUC
rnacentral:ncRNA from 1 species